CACUUGUUAUUACAAUCAAUUCCACUAGGAACCAAGAGUGGGAUCAGCCAACUUCUAACAACAACUUUUGGGUUGGAUCCCAAAGCCCAAUUUACCAAAAUCAUCUCCCGAAUUACUCAGCUAUAACCCUAAUUGUUUAAAUUUUACUGUUUCACCCCAACACCUUCUACUCCCAUCGGUUCUCACCCUCCAACUCAAAGCCAUCGUACACCUUGUCCCACAGCGGCGCAUCAGCAAGCACAAACACCAUCCCCCACGGCGGCGCAGAACCACGGCGAGCACCAUCCCCAGCGACGAUGCACCCUCCCAACGACGACGGUGCAUCCUCAGCGGCUCUCUUCUAGAGGUUUCAGUCACAUCUCCGCCACGCAUGCAACAACAACCAUCUGCGUCAACCAGUUGUCCAUUGUCCGAUACACUCAACGCCGCUACGUGAAGACCAUCUCUGCUUGCUGGAGGCGUGGACAGGUUUCCUUUAGUUCAGUCGCCGACUUCAGUUCUACAAGCAUUCUCAAACGGCUGUAACAGGAAUUGAAAGAUGCUUUACUUUCGGCGUUAGACAACCAUCCUGUAUGCCGUGACCAGCCCAAAAACAAACUUAAGGAAGUGAGAACCCCUGCACAGCACCGAGCACAAAGACCAUGUUGCAGCGUGCGGGGUUACUUACGAAAAAAUUAAGCAAGGGAAAAAAACAACAGAAGAAGAAAGAUACCUAGAAAAAUCAUGAUUCUGUAUCUGUUUGAGACACUUGUGAUACUGCUUUUAAAGUAUUUACUUUUUUAGGCCAUACACAACGUGUUUUUGUGUAGAUAGCUGCUUGUUUUAGGCAACAUCCACGUGGAUGUUGCUCCUGUUAUGCAGCAGAAUGUUCCUUUACCCUUCUAAAUGGAUGUUUCUGAAUAUA